UUGAACGCUGGCGGCAGGCCUAACACAUGCCAGUCGAACGGUAACAGGAAACAGCUUGCUGUUUCGCUGACGAGUGGCGGACGGGUGAGUAAUGUCUGGGAAACUGCCUGAUGGAGGGGGAUAACUACUGGAAACGGUAGCUAAUACCGCAUAACGUCGCAAGACCAAAGAGGGGGACCCUCGGGCCUCUUGCCAUCGGAUGUGCCCAGAUGGGAUUAGCUUGUUGGUGGGGUAACGGCUCACCAAGGCGACGAUCCCUAGCUGGUCUGAGAGGAUGACCAGCCACACUGGAACUGAGACACGGUCCAGACUCCUACGGGAGGCAGCAGUGGGGAAUAUUGGACAAUGGGCGCAAGCCUGAUGCAGCCAUGCCGCGUGUAUGGAGAAGGCCUUCGGGUUGUAAAGUACUUUCAGCGGGGAGGAAGGGAGUAAAGUUAAUACCUUUGCUCAUUGACGUUACCCGCAGAAGAAGCACCGGCUAACUCCGUG
rnacentral:rRNA from 1 species